GGUGAACGCUGGCGGCGUGCCUAAUACAUGCAAGUCGAACGCUGGAGAUCUAGCUUGCUAGAUCGAAGGAGUGGCGAACGGGUGAGUAAUACAUAAGCAACCUACCCACGAAGACUGGGAUAAUCUCUGGAAACGGGGACUAAUACCGGAUAGGUAAUCGGAAGGCAUCUUCUGGUUAUUAAAGGUUAAAAACACUGGUGGAUGGGCUUAUGGCGCAUUAGUUAGUUGGUGAGGUAACGGCCCACCAAGACGAUGAUGCGUAGCCGGCCUGAGAGGGUGAACGGCCACAUUGGGACUGAGACACGGCCCAGACUCCUACGGGAGGCAGCAGUAGGGAAUUUUCGGCAAUGGGGGCAACCCUGACCGAGCAACGCCGCGUGAGUGAAGACGGCCUUCGGGUUGUAAAGCUCUGUUGUAAGGGAAGAACGGUAGAUAGAGAAUAUCUAAGUGACGGUACCUUACCAGAAAGCCACGGCGAACUACGU
rnacentral:rRNA from 1 species